rnacentral:rRNA from 1 species
GUGGCAUGGCGGCAGCUACACAUGCAAGUCGGACGGUAGCACAGAGAGAGCUUGCUCCUCGGGUGACGAGUGGCGGACGGGUGAGUAAUGUCUGGGAAACUGCCCGAUGGAGGGGGAUAACUACUGGAAACGGUAGCUAAUACCGCAUAACGUCGCAAGACCAAAGUGGGGGACCUCCGGGCCUCACACCAUCGGAUGUGCCCAGAUGGGAUUAGCUUGUAGGCGGGGUAACGGCCCACCUAGGCGACGAUCCCUAGCUGGUCUGAGAGGAUGACCAGCCACACUGGAACUGAGACACGGUCCAGACUCCUACGGGAGGCAGCAGUGGGGAAUAUUGCACAAUGGGCGCAAGCCUGAUGCAGCCAUGCCGCGUGUAUGAAGAAGGCCUUCGGGUUGUAAAGUACUUUCAGCGGGGAGGAAGGUGUUGAGGUUAAUAACCUCAGCAAUUGACGUUACCCGCAGAAGAAGCACCGGCUAACUCCGUGCCAGCAGCCGCGGUAAUACGGAGGGUGCAAGCGUUAAUCGGAAUUACUUGGCGUAAAGCGCACGCAGGCGGUCUGUUAAGUCAGAUGUGAAAUCCCCGGGCUUAACCUGGGGACUGCAUUUGAAACUGGCCAGCUUUAGUCUCUCUACACGGGGAGGACAAUUCCCGGGUGAACCGCUUGAAAGGCGUAAAUAUUUGGAGGAAUGCGAUCUGGAG